rnacentral:tRNA from 1 species
GAGCCAGUAGCUCAGUCGGUAGAGCAUCGGACUUUUAAUCCGGUGGCCGAGGGUUCGAGUCCCUCCUGGCUCAC